AAGUCGUAACAAGGUCUCCGUAGGUGAACCUGCGGAGGGAUCAUUACUGAGUUUUUAACUCUCCAAACCAUGUGAACUUGCCACUGUUGCCUCGGUGGUCGGUGCUGGAAACAGUGCUGCCACCGGUGGACUACUAAACUCUUGUUAAUUUUUGUCAAAUCUGAAUCAAACUAAGAAAUAAGUUAAAACUUUCAACAACGGAUCUCUUGGUUCUG
rnacentral:misc_RNA from 1 species